rnacentral:lncRNA from 1 species
UCCCCCCCAGUUUUAUCAUUGGAAUGUGAUACAAAACAAGACAACGGUGUGCUUUAGGACCAUGUGGACGCCUCCAAGUGGUCGGGUAUGCUGUUUGGAGUGUUUAUCCGACUGGAUUUAGGACCAUGCGUACACCACAGAGUGGGCUGACAGGCAACGCUUCUGGAAGGCUGGUUGGACCAGCACGGGAGAGUUGAGCAUAGUUCAGUGUGUAAGUGUUGCGCUCUUUCACCAAGUUGUAAAAGGAAAAGAAACUGGCCACUCUUUCAUUGACUGAUGUAGCUGGCAAUGUAACUGCUGUUUACCCUAAACAGCGGUUGACAUGCUUCGAAGGACGGUAAUGGAAUAUUUAGAUUUUUUUUGUCACGAAUUGCGCCAUGCUCGUCACCCUUAUUUAUCCUUUCGGAUAGUGUCUUGAACGCACGAACAAAACGCCGCUAUUUGGAUAUAACUAUGGAUUAUUUUGAACCAAACCAACAUUUGUUAUUGAAGUAGAAGUCCUGGGAGUGCAUUCUGACGAAGACAGCAAAGGAAAUGGCUUCCUGGAUUCCCCUAAGCAGCUGAUUGGUCGGCCCCAUUGAUGAUUGGAGCUCUGACCCCGCCCUCUCGUCAGGGGAACAGCUGUUUUCAAUUACCGACUCCUUCUGCAGCUUUAAAAGCCAGUGUUCCUUGGGGGGGGGCUUCUUGGUAUGUCCUGUGUUUUGUUGUAUGUCUGUAUGAAUUUUUGUAAAGUACUUUGUAGCCGGUUCUGCUGAGGUAUGUUUAUGUCAAAAGGACUGUUUUGAUUAUUGAAGUUGUUCACUUUAUGUUUGUAUUAUUCUGUUUUUGUUCCCAGGGGGGAAGGGGAACGCACCUUGGGAGUGUUUAGGCAAGAGGCCUGCGGGCAUACAUAACCCGUAGUAUUUAAUCUGUCUAUGCACACUAGGUAAGACCUGGGCGGACCACGCCCUGUAUUUUGGUUAGCGUGCCAGGUGGUGCUAAGAUAGGUAAGUAGUGGGUAGGUAAGGUAGGAGAGGGGGCACUAACUUUUACUUUCUUUGCUUUAGUUCCGUCCAUCCCCUUUUUCCCCAAAUUAUCGUGUGAAGGAAAUAAAUUCCCUGUUAACGGUAAUAUAGUCUACCUCUGUCAUCCUUGCCCGCACCUGCAGUCACAUACCUCUUUCACUUCACGGGGAGUUGAGUGUAGCAGGGUGUUGCGUUCCCUCCUCCAAGAGGCGUGUGUAACAACAGUGUUCUGUACAAGUAAUGGACUUUACUGUUCAGUCUACAGGAAAGGACAGGAUUACCACAGUAAAACACCACAACAAUACACUGCUUAGAUCAGCCUCUCUGGGAUAAAGGAUGUUGACAAAGACCUGUAGUUUUACCGAUUUUAAGUCGGGCAUCAGUUUCUGAGUUCUGGGUGACACAGAUUCAAAUCUACACAUGUGUGAGUAUAGGAUAAGGAACUGAAUUUGGGUAACUGGGAUGGAGGUUUGAAUGGCCAUAUGGAUAGGCUGAAACAGCAGCAUGGGAAAAAAGAGGUGGGGGGGGGGGCUGGACUACACUCUGGAGAGGUGGAGGGGGGAGCUGAACUACACUCUGGAGAGGGGGAGCUGGACUACACUCUGGAGAGGUGGUAUAGGGGUAGCUGAACUACACUCUGGAGAGGUGGAGCUGGACUACACUCUGGAGGGGUGGAGCUGGACUACACUCUGGAGAGGUGGAGGGGAGCUGAACUACACUCUGGAGAGGUGGUAAAGCUUCCUAAAUGGAUAUCUUAGAUGACUAAACAGAUUACAAGUAGAGUAAAUGUAGGCUUUGCAGUGCCAUGUGGAUGACAAUGCCUGAUAAUGGAACGGAUGUUGUAAUGUUAGGAGAGAGAGACACACAGAGAGAGAGAGAGAGACACACAGAGAGAGAGAGAGACACACAGAGAGAGAGAGACACACAGAGAGAGAGAGAGACACAGCGAGAGAGACCACAGAGAGACACACAGAUACAGCGAGAGAGAGACACAGCGAGAGACACACAGCGAGAGAGAGAGACACAGACACAGAGAGAGAGAGAGAGAGAGAGAGAAAGUUUGACAAACAAGUAAACCAAAUCAAAGGCAAAAUCUACUCGUGUUUUGUAGACUUCAAGAAAGCAUUUGAUUCAAUUUGGCACAAAGGUCUUUUUUUAUAAAGCUUUGGCAGCCAAGUAUGUGUCGUCGUGCCACAACCUGAGGGACAGCCAGCGAAAAGGGCAUUGUAAUGUCAAUAAUAUUUCCCGUUUUAUUUUAGCUUUCCUACCAUGUCAUGUGGCUUCUCAGUCAGGUUGAGACUGGCCUACCACUGUUGCUUUGAUGUCUCACCCUGAUCUGUUUCACCUGUCCUGUGCUUGUCUCCACCCCCCUACAGCUGUCGCCCAUUUUCCCCAUUACCCCAUGUGCAUUUAUACCUGUGUUAUCUGUUUGCCUGUUGCCAGUUCUUGUCUCGUCAAGCCUACCAGUGUGUUUUUUUCCCCGUACUCAUGGUCGCUCUAGUCCCUGUUGCCUAGUUCUUACGGUUUUGACCAUUCUGCCUGCCCUGACCCUGAGCCUGCCUGCCUUUCUAUACCUUUCUGACUCUGCCCUGGGUUACGGACCUCUGCCUGCUCUGACCCUGAGCCUGCCUGCCUUUCUGUACCUUACUGACUCUAACCCUGGGUUACGGACCUCUGCCUGCUCUGACCCUGAGCCUGCCUGCCUUUCUGUACCUUUCUGACUCUGCCCUGGGUUACGGACCUCUGCCUGCUCUGACCCUGAGCCUGCCUGCCUUUCUGUACCUUACUGACUCUGCCCUGGGUUGCGGACCUCUGCCUGCUCUGACCCUGAGCCUGCCUGCCUUUCUGUACCUUUCUGACUCUGCCCUGGGUUACGGACCUCUGCCUGCUCUGACCCUGAGCCUGCCUGCCUUUCUGUACCUUUCUGACUCUGCCCUGGGUUACGGACCUCUGCCUGCCCCCUGUUUUUGUCAAUAAACAUCUGUGAUUCUAACUGUCUGCUCUGGGUCUUAUGCUGGGUCGUGAGAGAGAGAAAAUGAUGGAGCUGAAGAAAGGUAUGGGAUUUUGACUGUUAGUGUGACAUGGAGAGAGAUCACAAUAGGAGAGAAAAGAGAGCUACAUGAAGAGUGGAAAGGGAAGAGGUUGACUGGAGUGCGAUGAUGAGAGAGAGAGAUACAUAAAGAGAGGAAGUAGAGGGAAAGGGAGGAGGUUGACUGGAGAGAGAUGAUGAGAGAGAUACAUAAUGAGAGGAUAUAGAGGGAAAGGGAGGAGGGUGACUGGAGAAUGAUGAGAGAGAGAUACAUGUAGAGGGAAAGGGGGGAGGUUGACUGGAGAACGAUGAUGAGAGAGAGAGACAUAAUAAGAAAAACUAGAGGGAAAGGGAGGAUGUUGACUUGAGUACGAUGAUGAGGAGAAGAAGAGAUGGUGCUAGCUCUUGAACUUGAGUGUUGAAAUGAGGCCUCACAGACAUGCCGGACAGAGGCUGGGGACCUGUUAACUGAAUGAUGUAAUAGUCUGGGGGCCUGUUAACUGAAUGGUGUAAUAGUCUGGGGGCCUGUUAACUGAAUGGUGUAAUAGUCUGGGGGCCUGUUAACUGAAUGGUGUAAUAGUCUGGGUGACCUGUUAACUGAAUGGUGUAAUAGUCUGGGGGCCUGUUAACUGAAUGGUGUAAUAGUCUGGGGGCCUGUUAACUGAAUGGUGUAAUAGUCUGGGGGCCUGUUAACUGAAUGGUUUAAUGACCGUGACUAGUGGCCUUAAAGGAGAGGUGGUGACUACAACCAUGACUAUUGACCUUAAAGGAGAGGUUGUGACUACAACCAUGACUAGAGACCUUAAAGGAGAGGUUGUGACUACAACCAUGACUAGUGACCUUAAAGGAGAGGUUGUGACUACAACCAUGACUAGAGACCUUAAAGGAGAGGUUGUGACUACAACCAUGACUAGUGACCUUAAAGGAGAGGUUGUGACUACAACCAUGACUAGAGACCUUAAAGGAGAGGUUGUGACUACAACCAUGACUAGUGACCUUAAAGGAGAGGUUGUGACUACAACCAUGACUAGAGACCUUAAAGGGGAGGUGGUGACUACAACCAUGACUAGUGACCUUAAAGGAGAGGUUGUGACUACAACCAUGACUAGAGACCUUAAAGGAGAGGUGGUGACUACAACCAUGACUAGAGACCUUAAAGGAGAGGUUGUGACUACAACCAUGACUAGUGACCUUAAAGGAGAGGUUGUGACUACAACCAUGACUAGUGACCUUAAAGGAGAGGUGGUGACUACAACCAUGACUAGUGACCUUAAAGGAGAGGUGGUGACUACAACCAUGACUAUUGACCUUAAAG